GCGCUUGCUUUGGCAGCACAUAUACUAAAAUUAGAACAAGACAGACAGGGUUAGCACGGCCCCUGUACAAGGAUAGCAUGCAAAUUCAUGAAGCGUUCCAUAUUUUU
rnacentral:snRNA from 1 species